GGCUUUGUUAAGCUCUAACGUCUUUCUUUCAAGCUGGUGUCAUGUUCCCUGGAUUUAAACCGAAGAGAACCUCCUAGAGACUUCAGUAGGCUUUUACAGAUGUAUUGACCAGAUGUCCUGGAAGUGCCCCCUGAUGCAGACCCAGUUGUUGGGUAGCCACCCAUGCACGUUGACACAGCCCCCAGCAGUGGGCACCCAUGGGGAUGGACCCAGGAGUGGAGGAUGACCC